UAUAUAUUCCCUCCGUUCGGAAUUACUUGUCUCGGAAAUGGAUGUAUCUAGAACUAAAAUACAUCUAGAUACAUCCAUUUCUACGACAAGUAAUUCCGAACGGAGGGAGUAUAAA
rnacentral:pre_miRNA from 1 species